GACGAACCGUGCGAACGUUGUUCGGAAUCACUGGGCUUAAAGGGCGCGUAGGCGGGCUGACAAGUCUGGGGUGAAAUGCCGCGGCUCAACCGUGGAACUGCCUUAGAUACUGUCGGCCUCGAGGAAGGUAGGGGCAUGCGGAACUGUAGGUGGAGCGGUGAAAUGCGUUGAUAUCUACAGGAACUCCGGUGGCGAAAGCGGCGUGCUGGACCUUUUCUGACGCUGAGGCGCGAAAGCUAGGGGAGCAAACGGGG
rnacentral:rRNA from 1 species